CUAUUGAGAAGAUCAGCUUUUGUGAGGACAGAAAGUUCCAGGGUCGAUUCCACGGGCGCAACAAUGACUCUGGCAACCUACACACGUACUUCAGCCGCUGCAACUCUGAAGGAUUCUGGGUAAUCUACGAGAUACCAAACUAUAUGGGCUACUAGUAAAGUAGGUGCUCAGCCCAGGAGAGUACCCAGACUACCAACACUGGCUGGGCAUCACUGACACCAUCAGGUCCUGUCGCAUUAUUAGCAGCGUGGGGGACUCGUGGAGGCUGAAGGUUUGGGGGAAGCCAAUCUUUGAAGGCCAGCUGAUGGAGGUGACAGACAACAUGCCUGUCUUCCACGAGCGCUGGCACAGCUGGGAAGUCCACUCCUGCAACGUGUUCAAAGGCGCCU